GCGGUUAUAGCUCAGUUGGUUAGAGCGCCGGUUUGUGGCACCGGAGGUCACGAGUUCAAUUCUCGUUAAUCGCC
rnacentral:tRNA from 1 species